ensembl:lncRNA
CCCCAACACACAACCUGAGCCUUCACUCCCCUCCGAUGAACCUCUAACACUCAAUAUUGCUUUCCUCAAGAAAGACCUCCAUCUGUAGAAUGGGGAGGAGAUCCACUGCCUGAAAGAAAGCUGGUUGAACAGCAGAUCUGUGCUGCGAAUCCUCCUACAGUGCAAGAGAUGCAGAUGCCAGUUCGAUCCCUGGCUCAGGAAGAUCCCUUGGAGGAGGGCAUGGCAACCCACUCCAGUCUUCUUGCCUGGAGAAUACCAUGGACAGAGAAGCCUGGCGGGCGACAGUCCAUGGGGUUACAAAGAGUCGGUCGGACACGACUGAAGCGACUGAGCAUGCGUGCCCUGAAUCCCAUGGCCGUGAGCCUGCUCAGGCUUUGGUCCCCCACAUCGGUCAUCAGUCAGACCAGAUGACUCCUUUCAGCAGCUCCUCGUUGCCUUCAGCUGAAAACCAAGAUCUCUAGGUGGAAGGUAUUUUCUCUGUGCACCACUAUCUCCAGCAGCUCCAGGAAUACAAAGACCCUCCUGCUCCACCCAGGGUCCCACUUCCCAGACCCGAGCC